rnacentral:rRNA from 1 species
UUACGGGGGGCACCAGUGAGGAAUAUUGCACAAUGGGGGGAACCCUGAUGCAGCAACGCCGCGUGGAGGAUGACGCCCUUCGGUGUGUAAACUCCUUUUAUAUGUCAAGAAAAUGACGGUAGCAUAUGAAUAAGCACCGGCUAACUCCGUGCCAGCAGCCGCGGUAAUACGGAGGGUGCAAGCGUUACUCGGAAUCACUGGGCGUAAAGGACGCGUAGGCGGGUUGGAAAGUCAGGUGUGAAAUCCUACAGCUUAACUGUAGAACUGCACUUGAAACUUCUAAUCCAGAGUAUGGGAGGGGGAGAUGGAAUUAGUGGUGUAGGGGUGAAAUCCGUAGAUAUCACUAGGAAUACCUAAAGCGAAGGCGAUCUCCUGGAACAUUACUGACGCUAAGGCGUGAAAGCGUGGGGAGUAAACAGGAUUAGAUACCCGAGUAGUC